rnacentral:misc_RNA from 1 species
AAAUAGCAUUAUGCCCAAUAGGCCAACCAUCACAUAAAACUAUACUAGAGUUCCAUUUUCAAUCACAAUAACCAUAAAACUCAUUUCAAUUAAAACAGAAUAAUGGAAAAACUAAGAAAAGUUAAAUCAGAGUUCACCCAUUGUCUACACAAUGACAGAGGCGAUGAUGGAAAUGAUUCCCCGACGAGGAUGGCUUUAAGAAAACGGAACAGGAACAAGAUGGGUGAAUCGUGAAUGUGGAACUGAGGCCUGGUACCACUGAGGGAAAUGGAACCUGGUUGUCUCUGCUCUUGCCCUGUGGAGAUAAGUUUUGCCAGUGAAAACAAACCGAUUCUGCUAGAACCAGUGAAUGGGACUGAUUCCAUGCAACUGGAGUCAAAUGAGUUCGCCGAAGAAGACAGAUUCUAUGCUAGGUUUGAUAGGAUCAAGAGGAACCCAAGAAAAAGGACAAUGGGUCACUGUUUGUGUGUGAGGGGUAUGAUUGAAGGAUAUGGGCGUGGGGUGGAGAGCAGUGCAUCAUGAAUGAGAGGGAUACAAUGGUGGUGUAAUGCUGAGAGUGAUGAGGGUGAGCUGAAAUGGUUUUUAGACCGGUUAAAGGAUGGUGAAUGGUGAGGCGUGAGGAGGUGAAGUUGUUUUGGGCAAAAGGAAGGCUAGGUUCUUUUGGGCAAAGUUAGAAAUUAG